rnacentral:rRNA from 1 species
UACGAAGGGGGCUAGCGUUGCUCGGAAUCACUGGGCGUAAAGCGCACGUAGGCGGCUUUCUAAGUCAGGGGUGAAAUCCUGGAGCUCAACUCCAGAACUGCCUUUGAUACUGGAGAGCUUGAGUCCGGGAGAGGUGAGUGGAACUCCGAGUGUAGAGGUGAAAUUCGUAGAUAUUCGGAAGAACACCAGUGGCGAAGGCGGCUCACUGGCCCGGUACCGACGCUGAGGUGCGAAAGCGUGGGGAGCAAACAGG